AGAGAUAAUCCUUGUGAGUUUUAUGAUUACCGAAACUGCUGAGUCAUAGAAAUUAAUUUUGAGGAAGAAAAGUGACAGCAUACUGCAUAGGUGACUUAUUCAAAUUUUUUUCCUGAGGCAAUUAUGCUUUUCUCUGUAUUAUCAUAUAUUAUAAUAAAGAGCCUGUUUUACAGACCUAUAAGAAAUGCUAUCCCAAAUAUAAAGAUGCAAUGUAUAAAAUAUCUUAUUCAUUAAUAUUUACAAAAUAAACAAAAAUUUCAAUUUGUC
rnacentral:lncRNA from 1 species